GGCGGGUAUGAGGGAGGCUAGCGGGGAGGGCCUUGCCCCAAGAGGCCCGGAGCGUGGACAGCGCACGGGGUGCUGAAUCAGGCACGGGGAGGAGGAGUGCCGGCAAGGGCGCCGGCCCGGGGAGGACGAACUCCCAAUACCGUGCGGGGGGACUAGGACGACCCUGGUAAGUCAGCCACAGGAUAUCAGUUCUCAGAAUAGAAGAGAAGCCAGGUCUGGCAGCACCUGAUGAUGGAGGGUUCUAUGUUUUAAUUGCCUGGAGGUUCCAUCCAAAAGCAGUCAGCCAACAGUGCAGUCCGUGAGCAGUGCGGUUACAUCUGUGGCACUGGGAGUGGUGCCUGGCCCUGCACCAAGAAGACCUACUGGUACUGCACGGUGAAAGCAAACUGGGUUCAGCAAAGGAAGCUCCCAUUGCUGCAUGGACAGCAUUUCCAAUUAAUCUUGGAAUGAGAGCCGAGGGCAAGAAGCCAGCGGUGCCUGAGGGAUGCUAAAGAGCCAACCGAUCCAGGGAAACAAAUGCCAGCGAGGGACCCCACAGCAAAGAGACAGACACUGUGAGCAACUCUCCUGUUACCAUGAGGCUUGCGAGGCGUGUGUGCGGGUCUCCGCAUUGGCACCAUCUGCCAAUUCCUCAGGAGGACAGAACAAACCAGUGAGGCAUGAAGAUUAGAUUAUGUAACGCUCGAGGAUUGCUGUUUUCAAAGAGGAAACAAAUGGAAUGAAUUGAUUUGCUUGUCAAAGUCAUGUCACUAAAGGAGAUCUAUUCCCUCCCCUUCUAAGAGGACCUCAUUAAAGAGUGGAAUGAUUUCACAGAUUC
rnacentral:lncRNA from 1 species